AGCCCAUAGAAACACAUUGAAUAAGACAUUCUGAAAAUGGCAAGAAAUACAGUCAAAAGAAAAAUAACAAGGAAUAAGGUUUUGAAGUGUCUGUCCUAUAUCUAGGAGAUAUAAGAAAGUUCNCUUACUUCUAUUUUUUGUAUGGGUUACCUUCAGACGAGCGUUCAUGAGAGUCUCCCCUUUCCACAUAUUAGUUUGUAGCUCAAACGGUUCAGACGCUACAGACAAAUUGGCACAUCAGCUUUACCAACUUCAGAUGAGUCCUGUGACACUUGUUGGGCUCGUAGAGCAGAAAGGAUAAUACUGUAGUUUGUAGUAAUAGCCAAACCGUUCAGACGCUACAGAUGUUUUCAUGAAAAGACCAAUUUUCGGGAUGUCUUAUGGUCUGACAUACACCACUAUAGCUCGGCCACUUUCCACCGCAGAUGUGGAAGGCUGACAUAGGCGGAUGCGGUGGAUUGGCUGAUAUCUCUAGCUUAAACUAACAGAUUUUGAUAGGGAUUUUUGUAUUAUGUUUCUUAGAUUGGUGCACUGGUGCACAUUUUAAUAACUGAACCCCCACCGAAAUGUUGGUUAGUCGCUCAGCAAAAACACACACACACACACACACACACACACACACACACACACACACACACACACACAGUCUGGAUUUCAUUAUAAGUAAAUACAUUUUGCAGUGGGUCUGUGUGUGUGUGAGCGGGAGAGAGCAAGAGAGAGUGCUGAAAAGCUUUCAGAACUUCAACGCACACACACCACUGUGCAAAAUCAGUUGUAGAAAAAAAGGGAAGGAGACAGACAGACGGUUGUUGUUUGGAAAAACUGCAUAUUUUUUAUUUCAUUCUGCUCCUCCCCUCUUCUCUCUCAGCAUCUCUCUCUCCCACACUACCGAGAAGAGAGCAGAGGCUUCAGCUCCCUGGAACUCUCCACUACUCCUAAGGGAGGUCAUGGAUGGACUGCGAUUACCUCCACUCAUUGAGGAUGCGCUGGAAUCUACAGAUGAGCCCUGUGGAGAUCUGAAAGCGGAGAGCAGCCCCAGCCUGAGCCCCACCAUGGACAAUGAGAUCACAGCCAAGGAGAGAGGAGUACUGGAGAACAACGAAAAGGAGACAAUGGACAGAGAUCAGGAGGAGGAGGUAGAGAAGCUCUUAUGUUUGUUGGUGGCAUCUGUUGUAGUCUUUAUUCGUCUGGCAUAUUUAUGGGUCCUGAUUUUGUAUUCAGUUCUUUUGUUCUAUGUGUGUCUUUUUUUAUCUGCUGCUGUUUGACAUUACAUUUAGUUUCCAUGUGAUUGAUACCAUUCCAUUCACUCCAUUCCAGCCAUUAUUAUGAGCUGUCCUUCCCUCACCAGCCUCUUGUGAGAUGGCUGCCGUUUUACGGGCUCUUAAUCAAUUGUGCUAUUGUGUGUGUUUUUUUUCGUGUUAUUUGUAACUUAUUCUGUUCAUAAUGUUUCUGCCACCGUCUCUUAUGACCGAAAAGAGCUUCUGGAUAUCAGGACAGCGAUUACUCACUUCGUACUGGAUGAAGUUUUUUUCUUUAACGAGUCGGACGCAAAGGAUUUACUUCAGACACCCAACAGGGCCAACAUCCACGUCAUUCGCAGGAGAAAGAGAUGGAGAUAUCGGGGACAUAGGUCGGGUGCCUUGUAAGGAUCCGACGGCGAGUUGGUAAUCUGCCUCUAACAUCAGUCCUAUUAGCCAAUGUACAAUCAUUGGAUAACAAAAUAGACAAGCUACAUUCACAAAUACCCUACCAAUAGGAAAUUAAAAACAAAUGUAUUUUGUUUCACCGAGUCGUGGCUGAACGACGACAUGGAUAAAAGACAGCUGGCGGGGUUUGCGCUGCAUCGACAUGAUAGAACAGCUCAGACAAGGGGUGGUGGUCUGUGUAUAUUUAUGUAAACAACAGCUGGUGCACGAAAUCUAAUAUUAAGGAAAUCUCAAGGUUUUGCUUCACUGAGGUAGAAUAUUUCAUGAUAAGCUAUAGAUCACACUAUUUAACAAGAGAGUUCUCAUCUAUAUUUUUCAUAGCUGUCUAUUUACCACCAAAAAUAAUGCACUCAAUGAGCUGUAUAAGGCCAUAGGCAAACAGAAAAACGCUCAUCCAGAGGCGGUGCUCCUAGUGGCCAGGGACUAAUGAAGGGAAAACUUAAAUCCGUUUUACAUUUCUACCAUGUUAAAUGUGCAACCAGAGGAAAAACAACUUUAGACCACCUUUACUCCACACACAGAGACACGUACAAAGCUCUCCCUUGCACUCCGUUUGCCAAAUCCGACCAUAAUUCUAUCCUCCUGAUUCCUGCCUACAAGCAAAAACUAAAGUGACUCGGUCAAUAAAGAAGUAGUCAGAUGAUGCCGAUGCUAAGCUACAGGACUGUUUUGCUAGCACAGACUGGAAUAUAUGGUAUUGAGGAGUACACCACAUCAGUCACUUGCUUCAUCAAUAAGUGCAUCGAAAAUGUCCCCACAGAAGCCAUGGAUUUACAGGCAACAUCCGCACUGAGCUAAAGAUAGAGCUUCCACUUUCAAGGAGCGGGACUCUUAUAAGAAAUUCCGCUAUGGCCUCAGAUGAACCAUCAAACAGGCAAAGCGUCAAUACAGGACUAAGAUUGAAUCAUACUACACCUGCUCCGAUGCUCGUCAGAUGUGGCAGCGCUUGCAAACUAUUACAGACUACAAAGGGAAGCACAGUCGCGAGCUGCCCAGUGACACGAGCCUACCAGACGAGCUAAAUUACUUCUAUGCUCGCUUCGAGGCAAACAACACUGAACAAUGCAUGACAGCAUUAGCUCUCCGGACGACUGUGUGAUCAAAUCAAAUUUAUUUAUAUAGCCCUUCUUACAUCAGCUGAUAUCUCAAAGUGCUGUACAGAAACCCAGCCUAAAACCCCAAACAGCAAGCAAUGCAGGUGUAGAAGCACGGUGCAUCGGAAAAACUCCCUAGAAAGGCCAAAACCUAGGAAGAAACCUAGAGAGGAACCAGGCUAUGAGGGGUGGCCAGUCCGCUUCUGGCUGUGCCGGGUGGAGAUUAUAACAGAACAUGGCCAAGAUGUUCAAAUGUUCAUAAAUGACCAGCAUGGUCAAAUAAUAAUCACAGUAGUUGUCGAGGGUGCAGCAAGUCAGCACCUCAGGAGUAAAUGUCAGUUGGCUUCUCAUAGCCGAUCAUUAAGAGUAUCUCUACCACUCCUGCUGUCUCUAGAGAGUUGAAAACAGCAGGUCUGGGACAGGUAGCACGUCUGGUGUGCAGGUCAGGGUUCCAUAGCCGCAGGCAGAAAAGUUUAAAUCAUGUGAUCACGCUCUCCGUAGCCGAUGUAAGACUUUUAAACAGGUCAACAUUCACAAGGCCGCAGGGCCAGAUGGAUUAGCAGGACGUGUACUCCGAGCAUGCGCUGACCAACUGGCAAGUGUCUUCACUGACAUUUUCAACCUCUCCCUGUCUGAGUCUGUAAUACCAACAUGUUUCAAGCAGACCACCAUAGUCUCUGUGCGCAAGAACACUAAGGUAACCUGCCUAAAUGACUACCAACCCGUAGCGCUCAUGUCUGUAGCCAUGAAGUGCUUUGAAAGUUUGGUCAUGGCUCAUAAUCAACACCAUUAUCCCAGAAACCCUAGACCCACUCCAAUUUGCAUACCGCCCCAACAGAUCCACAGAUGAAGCAAUCUCUAUUGCACUCCACACUGCCCUUCCCCACCUGGACAAAAGGAACACCUACGUGAGAAUGCUAUUCAAUGACUACAGCUCAGCAUUCAACACCAUAGAGCCUUCAAAGCUCAUCACUAAGCUAAGAACCCUGGGAAUAAACACCUCCUUCUGAAACUGGAUCCUGUCCUGGUGGUAAGGGUAGGUAACAACACGUCCGCCAAGCUGAUCCUCAACACUGGGGCCCCUCAGAGGUGUGUGCUCAGUUCCCUCCUGUACUCCCUGUUCACCCAUGACUGCAUGGCCAGGCAUGACUCCAACACCAUCAUUAAGUUUGCCGACAACACAAUAGUGGUAGGCCUGAUCACCGACAACGAUGAGACAGCCUAUAGGGAGGUCAGAGACCUGGUCGUGUGGUGCCAGGACAACAACUUCUCCCUCAACGUGAUAAAGACGAAGGAUAUGAUUGUGGACUACAGGAAAAGGAGGACCGAGCACGCAUCCAUUCUCAUUGACGGGGCUGUAGUGGAGCAGGUUGAGAAUUUCAAGUUCCUUGGUGUCCACAUCACCAACAAACUGUCAUGUUCCAAACACACCAAGACAGUCGUGAAGCGGGCAUGACAAAGCCUAUUCCCCCUCAGGAGACAAAAAAUAUUUGGCAUGGGUUCUUAGAUCCUCAAAAUGUUCUACAGCUGCACCAUAGAGAGCAUCCGAACAGGUUGCAUCACUGUCUGGUAUGGCAACUGCUCGGCAUCCGACCGCAAGGCACUACAGAGGGAAGUGCGUAUGGUCCAGUACUUCACUGGGGCCAAGCUUCCUGCCAUCCAGGACCUCUAUACCAGGCGGUGUCUGAGGAAGGCCCUAAAAAUUGUCAAAGACCCCAGUCACCCUGGUCAUAGACUGUUCUCUCUGCUACCGCACAGCAAGCGGUACUGGAGAACAAAGUCUAGGUCCAAAAGGCUUCUUAACAGCUUCUACCCCCAAGCCAUAAGACUCCUGAACAGCCAAUCAAAUGGCUACCCAGAGUAUAUGCAUUGUCCCCCCUCACUCUUUUACGCUCCUGCUACUCUCUGGUUAUUAUCUAUGCAUAGUCACUUUAACUCUAUUACCUCAAUUUCCUCGACUAACUUGUGCCCACACACAUUGACUCUGUACCGGAACCCCCUUGUAUAUAGCCUCGCUACUGUUAUUUUACUGCUGCUCUAAUAACUAUUUGUUAUUUGUUAUUUUUACUUAUCUAUUUUUUACUUAACACUUGUUUUUCUUAAAACUGCAUUGUUGGCUAAGAGCUUGUAAGUAAGCAUUUCACUGUAAGCUCUGUAUAGCUGUUGUAUUCGACGCAUGUAGUGAAUAAAAAAUGUAUUUGAUUUGAUCUAUCAAUCUCUAUCUCGGAGGAGGAGAAGGGGAGGAGGGAGCAGCAGGAGCCCCUGUCUGAGGAGCAGGAGCUGGAGGAGUUGAGGAGCCAGGUGCUGCAGCUCCUUCUGG
rnacentral:lncRNA from 1 species